rnacentral:rRNA from 3 species
GGACUACUGGGGUAUCUAAUCCCGUUUGCUCCCCUAGCUUUCGAGCCUCAGCGUCAGAAGAGAUCCAGCACGCCGCUUUCGCCACCGGAGUUCCUGUAGAUAUCAACGCAUUUCACCGCUCCACCUACAGUUCCGCAUGCCCCUAUCUCCCUCGAGGCCGACAGUAUCUAAGGCAGUUCCACGGUUGAGCCGCGGCAUUUCACCCCAGACUUGUUAGCCCGCCUACGCUCCCUUUAAGCCCAGUGAUUCCGAACAACGUUCGCACGGUUCGUCUUACCGCGGCGGCUGGCAC